rnacentral:pre_miRNA from 1 species
GCGAAACAUCUUUUCAAGUGACAAGGAAGAUCUUGAUAACUCAAAUGCAAUGCAGGCAUGACUUUAUCAUUUGAUAAGUUCCAUAUGUCACUAUUCAGAAUUGCAUUCCA